GUAGUCAUAUGCUUGUCUCAAAGAUUAAGCCAUGCAUGUCUAAGUAUAAGCAAUUAUACAGUGAAACUGCGAAUGGCUCAUUAAAUCAGUUAUCGUUUAUUUGAUAGUACCUUACUACUUGGAUAACCGUGGUAAUUCUAGAGCUAAUACAUGCUUAAAAUCCCGACUGUUUGGAAGGGAUGUAUUUAUUAGAUAAAAAAUCAAUGCCUUCGGGCUCUUUGAUGAUUCAUAAUAACUUUUCGAAUCGCAUGGCCUUGUGCUGGCGAUGGUUCAUUCAAAUUUCUGCCCUAUCAACUUUCGAUGGUAGGAUAGUGGCCUACCAUGGUUUCAACGGGUAACGGGGAAU
rnacentral:rRNA from 1 species